AUUGAACGCUGGCGGCAUGCCUUACACAUGCAAGUCGAACGGUAGGGGGAACAAUCCCCUGAGAGUGGCGAACGGGUGAGUAAAGCAUCGGAACGUGCCCAGUUGUGGGGGAUAACUACUCGAAAGAGUGGCUAAUACCGCAUACGACCUGAGGGUGAAAGCGGGGGACCGAAAGGCCUCGCGCAGUUGGAGCGGCCGAUGUCAGAUUAGAGAGUUGGGGGGGUAAAGGCCCACCAAGGCGACGAUCUGUAGCUGGUCUGAGAGGACGACCAGCCACACUGGGACUGAGACACGGCCCAGACUCCUACGGGAGGCAGCAGUGGGGAAUUUUGGACAAUGGGCGCAAGCCUGAUCCAGCCAUGCCGCGUGCAGGAAGAAGGCCUUCGGGUUGUAAACUGCUUUUGUCAGGGAAGAAAUCCCUUGGGUUAAUACCUCGGGGGGAUGACGGUACCUGAAGAAUAAGCACCGGCUAACUACGUGCCAGCCGCCGCCGUAAGAC
rnacentral:rRNA from 1 species